AUGUCCCCACAGGGCCGCGGCGCUGCUGCUGUCGGUCAGUCACCUGGUGCUGGUGACCCGCAGCGCCUGUCGCCAACCGGCCGCUCGCCACUGGGUCGAGCGGUCACUGGCGGCGGCCGAGGAGCACAUGGCCGUGCUGCGCCAGGCCGCCAUGGCCACCGAGCCCGAGCGGCCACCAGCCCCCAACGAGCCGCCCCGCCAGGAGCAGUCGGCCAUCUGACCCCAAUAAAGGCCCCGAGUGCCCCCAGCCCCACAUGGGCGGCUCUGGGAUGGGCUGGUGCUGUGCUUUCUGCAUGGAGAGGGGUCUGGGGAGGGAACGGGGGUGUUGAAGGGGAGGUUGGGGGUCUGUGGGGUCUGUACCCCAAGCAGGGCGGUCUGUGGGGUCUGUACCCCGGGCAGGGCGGUCUGUGGGGUCUCUGGGUGUCCCCGUUUCCCGAGCAGGGCGGUCUGUGGGGUCUGUACCCCGAGCAGGGCAGUCUGUGGGGUCGGUACCCCGGGCAGGGCGGUCUGUGGGGUCCGUACCCCGGGCAGGGCGGUCUGUGGGGUCUGUACCCCGAGCAGGGCAGUCUGUGGGGUCGGUACCCCGGGCAGGGCGGUCUGUGGGGUCUGUACCCCGAGCAGGGCGGUCUGUGGGGUCUGUACCCCGGGCAGGGCGGUCUGUGGGGUCUGUACCCCGGGCAGGGCGGUCUGUGGGUCCGUACCCCGGGCACGGCGGUCUGUGGGGUCUGUACCUCGGGCAGGGCGAUCUGUGGGGUCCGUACCCCGGGCAGGGCGGUCUGUGGGGUCUCUGUGUGUCCCCGUUUCCUGGGCAGGGCGGUCUGUGGGGUCUGUACCCCGGGCAGGGCGGUCUGUGGGGUCUGUACCCCGGGCAGGGCGGUCUGUGGGGUCUCUGGGUGUCCCCGUUUCCCAGGCAGGGUGAUCUGUGGGUCUGUACCCCGGGCAGGGCGGUCUGUGGGGUCUGUACCCCGAGCAGGGCGGUUUGUGGGGUCGGUACCCCAGGCAGGGCGGUCUGUGGGUCCGUGUCCCGGGGCAGGGCGGUCUGUGGGGUCUGUACCCCGGGCAGGGCGGUCUGUGGGGUCUGUACCCCGGGCAGGGCGGUCUGUGGGGUCUGUACCCUGGGCAGGGCGGUCUGUGGGUCCGUGUCCCGAGCAGGGCGGUCUGUGGGGUCGGUACCCCGGGCAGGGCGGUCUGUGGGGUCUGUACCCCGGGCAGGGCGGUCUGUGGGGUCUCUGGGUGUCACCGUUUCCCGAGCAGGGCGGUCUGUGGGGUCGGUACCCCGGGCACGGCGGUCUGUGGGGUCUGUACCCCGGGCAGGGCGGUCUGUGGGGUGUCUGUGUGUCCCCGUUUCCCGAGCAGGGCGGUCUGUGGGGUCUGUACCCCGAGCAGGGCGGUCUGUGGGGUCUGUACCCCGAGCAGGGCGGUCUGUGGGUCCGUACCCUGAGCAGGGCGGUCUGUGGGGUCUGUAACCCGGGCAGGGCGGUCUGUGGGGUCGGUACCCCGAGCAGGGCGGUCUGUGGGGUCUGUACCCCGGGCAGGGCGGUCUGUGGGGUCGGUACCCCGGGCAGGGCGGUCUGUGGGGUCGGUACCCCGGGCAGGGCGGUCUGUGGGGUCUGUACCCCGGGCAGGGCGGUCUGUGGGGUCGGUACCCCGGGCAGGGCGGUCUGUGGGGUCUCUGGGUGUCCCCGUUUCCCGAGCAGGGCGGUCUGUGGGGUCUGUACCCCGCUCCCCUCCCGCUCCCUCAGGCCGAGCCCUCCCCGCUCCCGCCGCCCUCAGCCCCAGAGGGUCGGAUUGGGGGGGGGGGGGGGGGGGUGGCACGUAACCUCCCGUCACGUGAUAGGGUGA
ensembl:lncRNA